GUUCUUGCUUUGUUAAUAUAUAUACUAAAAUUGGAAUAUCACAGAGAUCAACACAGUCCAUGUACAAGAAUGGCUCUCACAUUUGUGAAUCAUUCCAUAUUUUU
rnacentral:snRNA from 1 species